CCUACGGGAGGCUGCAGUGAGGAAUAUUGGUCAAUGGACGAGAGUCUGAACCAGCCAAGUAGCGUGAAGGAUGACUGCCCUAUGGGUUGUAAACUUCUUUUAUAUGGGAAUAAAAUGCUCCACGUGUGGGAUUUUGUAUGUACCAUAUGAAUAAGGAUCGGCUAACUCCGUGCCAGCAGCCGCGGUAAUACGGAGGAUCCGAGCGUUAUCCGGAUUUAUUGGGUUUAAAGGGAGCGUAGGUGGAUUGUUAAGUCAGUUGUGAAAGUUUGCGGCUCAACCGUAAAAUUGCAGUUGAUACUGGCAGUCUUGAGUACAGUAGAGGUAGGCGGAAUUCGUGGUGUAGCGGUGAAAUGCUUAGAUAUCACGAAGAACUCCGAUUGCGAAGGCAGUUCACUGGACUGCAACUGACGCUGAGGCUCGAAAGUGUGGGUAUCAAACAGGAUUAGAUACCCUAGUAGUC
rnacentral:rRNA from 1 species